rnacentral:lncRNA from 1 species
AUUCAUGUGAUUAUGGUAGCUCAGUCAAAAUUUAUGUGAUGAAUAGUAAGACAAGAGUUUUGUUUUAUGAUGCGUAUGAAUUGUGGAGAAGAGUUAGGGUUAGAGGAGAUGAUGUGCUUUUGACAGUUUAGGGUAGAAGAUGUUGAAAAUAAUACUUUUAGCACGAUUUUUUUUAUUAAUAUAUGUCUGUUUUGGUCAUUUAGCUUUACUUAUAAAAUCUCAAUAGAAACAUAAAAUAAUAAGAGUGUGUAUUAAGAGAUUAAGGGUGUGUAUUUAAAGUUUCUCGUCGAUGGGAAGGUGAUGAAUGUUUUUGGAAGUUGUUGGGUGUCAAGCAACUCAAAUGUUCUACGUUCUUCCUCUUCUUCUUUUUUAAAAAUUUCUUUUUAUUGUGUAUGAUCUGAUUUUGAUUUUUGAAAAGUUAGAAUUGGAUUUGGUUUUCUUUUUAAUAAAGAAAAGUAAAAUCUAAUUUGUUAUGAAAAUAGAAAACACCAUGUUACCUGCCACAUCACAUUUUUUUUUUGACAUCAUAUUAUCAAGUGAUCUAGACCGUUGAAAAUUUUAAAAUCUGAUAGCCAUGAAAAAGUGUAAAAAAAUAUGUAAAAAACAAUGGCUCUUGAACCGGACCCAAAUUGAUAAUAGGUAGAUUAAUUAUAUAUAUGAAGAGUUGUUGGUUUAUUGCAUACUAUAGAUUUGAAUGUUUCUUAUCAUUAUUUUGAUAUGAUUAUCGAUAAAAAUUUACAUACAUUUUAACUUUCAUCCAUGAAUUCAUAUAAUCGUUGCGUAAUAUUUUCCUUAAUUUUUAAGAAUUUAAAAAAAAAACCAAGAACUUAAAAGAACACAAUGUGCUGGUUUGGUACAUUCGGUAGAUGAAAGCUUCAACAACCACCCGAACUCAAGUAAACAAGAGACCAGAAAUUUAGUGGAG